GCGGCGUUGGUAUAAAAAAUUACGGCUCCGUUGAUAAUUGAGUUUUUUUAAAUUCAUCAUCGAUCAAUGCAGUGGCCACACACUAGUAUGACCGUUGCAGUAAUUACAUAAUUGUUGUCCUAUCAUCUGGAAUGCAAAAUUGCAUUGCAUCUACAAGAGAUAAGAUAGGGGUGCCCAUUAAUUAUGAUAGCAACUACGGCGCUGGGGAUUACAGAUUAAGGUCGUAUUGUAAGCCUUUCCGAAUAGAUGCCAUCGGACUGCCGAUUACUGCCAGGAAUGCAUUGAAAUGCUUGAAGGACGAGGCAAUCGUAAUGGACAAUUGUAACUUCGACCUCAUGUGCCAAGGUGGGAGACGGUAUUAGCGUUGUGAUAUCUACGGGCUCCAGUAACCAGUUAAGACCAGAUAAGCGGCGUCCUCUCCUGGACUUAGGUCUCCUCCAAGAUUCACCAUAACGACCGAUCCUACGCAGCCUGCAUCCAGCAGAUUCCGCCGACUUUUAACAGGUCUUCGGUCCACCUCAUGGUAGAACGCUCCACUUUCCGGUACCAGGGAUAUAAUAAAGUCGUUGCCAUUUUA